GACGAACGCUGGCGGCGUGCCUAAUACAUGCAAGUUGAGCGAUGAAGCUUGGUGCUUGCACCCAUUUGAAGAGCAGCGAACGGGUGAGUAACGCGUGGGGAAUCUGCCUUUGAUCGGGGGACAACAUUUGGAAACGAAUGCUAAUACCGCAUAACAACUUUAAACAUAAGUUUUAAGUUUGAAAGAUGCAAUUGCAUCACUCAAAGAUGAUCCCGCGUUGUAUUAGCUAGUUGGUGAGGUAAAGGCUCACCAAGGCGAUGAUACAUAGCCGACCUGAGAGGGUGAUCGGCCAAAUUGGGACUGAGACAAGGCCCAAACUCCUAAGGGAGGCAGCAGUAGGGGAUCUUCGGACAUGGACGAAAGUCUGGCCGAGCAACGCCGCGUGAGUGAAGAAGGUUUUCGGAUCGUAAAACUCUGUUGGUAGAGAAGAACGUUGGUGAGAGUGGAAAGCUCAUCAAGUGACGGUAACUACCCAGAAAGGGACGGCUAACUACGUG
rnacentral:rRNA from 1 species